CGGAUGGGUGAGUAACGCGUGGGUAACCUGCCCUUAAGUCUGGGAUACCAUUUGGAAACAGAUGCUAAUACCGGAUAAAAGCUACUUUUGCAUUAAAGAAGUUUAAAAGGCGGCGUAAGCUGUCGCUAAAGGAUGGACCUGCGAUGCAUUAGCUAGUUGGUAAGGUAACGGCUUACCAAGGCGAUGAUGCAUAGCCGAGUUUAGAGACUGAUCGGCCACAUUGGGACUGAGACACGGCCCAAACUCCUACGGGAGGCAGCAGCC
rnacentral:rRNA from 1 species